GUUGCCCGGAUAGAUUGUUUGUGACUGUCAUUGUGAAUAGUUCCAUUAAAACACUUGAAAAGACAACAGCCUUUAAAUCAUCAUAUAUCAUUGUCUGACAAUAAAACAAACGCCACGAAUUUUAGGACUGAUUGUGAUUUAUACUGAAAAUGAUCGCUGACAUUGCUGAAGUCAAUAACGAUUCUGACGGAGGACUCAACAGCAUUUCGCCAAAGACUAAAUCAAAUGUUGAUUUGAAACCUUUGGAAGCCGUAAAGAUUCCUAUCUUGGACUGCAACAAACAAGCGUAAGAACGUGCGGGAUCUGCAACUGGGCCAGGUGCUCUAACAUACAUCUAGUUCAUCUCUGAAGAUUCUCUAGGGCCGCCAAUUGUUUUGAACAAUAUCAUGUGUACAGUAUUUCACAAACCAUAUGACAUUUGAAUAUUGCGGACAAUCUUAACUUGGACACUAUUAUGUAGGAUGUCCCUUAUUUCAGAAUUAUUUUUUUAAAAUCUUUUUAUCUUUAAAUCUAGUCAUAUUUAUUUAUUUUGUAUGUAAUUGUUAGCGCAUUUAGUGCAGUUACAUAUAACUCCGUAAACGGUGGCUGGAAACAAAGACUAGUAAACAUAACACAAGGUUUGACACAUGUUCUUCUUUUCCACAAAAACAUGAAGUGGUACGUUCAGCAUAUUUACGUGUCGAUGUCAUAGUACUUUGGGGAUCUCAAUGACAACAAAUAUGAAUUUGCGUUUACUUUCGUUUGGUAACAUAAAUCUCCUAAUUACCAUAUCAAGCCGUAUACAGUUUCAAAAAUUAUAGUAGUACUGGUAAAGUAUUACACAAACUCACAUAAAACGAAGAAAGUGAAGUAAAUACAAUGCACCAAUAAAUUAUAAAAUAUGGUAAAAUUCCAUGCAACCUUGUCUUUAUUAUAUAAUUAAUGAUGUACAGAAUUAUUACAAAAUAAGGUCUAAGUAUUGACUUAUAUACUUGUAUUUAGAUAUAGCUUCCUAUAGAUUUGUAAAAUUAAUAAAAAACAUUACUAUUUUAUAGAUGGAGUUAUCACAUACUAUUGCGCUUCGACCGUGCAUAAUUAUAUUGUAAAAAUGGACCAAGCCACCUUGCUUGUGUUCGUUGAUGGUUGAGAAUUUGUAGAAAAAUAAAGGGUAAAAUAACAUCCCAAAGUAGCACAGAACAAUAAAAUAAAAACGGGAAAAGGUUGAAAUAUACCAAGCAUGACCAUAUACUGACCCUGACCGAACUAUAACAAGCUAAACCUUAUUUUGACACAGAUUAAACAAUUUAACAAUUUUUGAUUAUGAUGUACAGGCAAGUAUAAGGAGAACUUGAAGGAAACGAACAUAUUGUGCCACCAAUCUGAAAAGUAAUUGCAGUUUUAACGUUAUUUCAAAAUCUAACAUAAAACUGUUCACAACGGCGGCUAGUUUGUUAUUCCUCGAGCAUUCUGUGAUUUCGGACGCGCAAAUUAACGUAAUCAAUCAAGAGUUCCUGAAUUCUAACAUGAUAGAUGUGUUUGAUUUUGUCUUUUUUAACAAUAAUAUGAUUGAUGACAGGGUUGUCCAAUCAGUUUCCGGUUACAACAAAUACAGGUGUUAAAAUGUCAAUUCCUCUAUCAUGGAUCCCAUGCAUGUUAAUUGUUUCGCUCUAUAUUUGGUA
rnacentral:lncRNA from 1 species